rnacentral:misc_RNA from 1 species
AGCAGCCGCGGUAAUUCCAGCUCCAAUAGCGUAUAUUAAAGUUGCUGCAGUUAAAAAGCUCGUAGUUGAAUUUCGGGACCAUCAUGUCGGUCGUGCCUCGGUACGUACUGGCAUUGUUGGUUUCUCCCUUCUGACGAACCAUGAUGUCAUUUAUUUGGUGUCAUGGGAAAUCAGGACUGUUACUUUGAAAAAUUAGAGUGUUUAAAGCGGGCUCACGCUUGAAUACAUUAGCAUGGAAUAAUGAAAUAGGACGUUUGAUUCUAUUUUGUUGGUUUCUAGGAUCGACGUAAUGAUUAAUAGGGAUAGUUGGGGGCAUUAGUAUUCAAUUGUCAGAGGUGAAAUUCUUGGAUUUAUUGAAGACUAACUACUGCGAAAGCAUUUGCCAAGGAUGUUUUCAUUAAUCAAGAACGAAAGUUAGGGGAUCGAAGACGAUCAGAUACCGUCGUAGUCUUAACCAUAAACUAUGCCGACUAGGGAUCGGAUGAUGUUAAUUUUAAUGUACUCAUUC